AAUCAACGCUGGCGGCGUGCCUCAGACAUGCAAGUCGAACGAUUAAAGCUCUCUUCGGAGAGUGUAUAGAGUGGCGCACGGGUGAGUAACACGUAAGUAAUCUACCUUUGAGUGGGGAAUAACAGUCGGAAACGACUGCUAAUACCGCAUAAUGCAGCGGCACCGCGAGGUGACAGUUGUUAAAGGAGCAAUUCGCUUAAAGAGGAGCUUGCGGCAGAUAGCUUGUUGGUAAGGUAACGGCUUACCAAGGCUACGAUCUGUAUCCGGUCUUAGAGGACGGUCGGACACACUGACACUGAAUAACGGGUCAGAC
rnacentral:rRNA from 1 species